rnacentral:rRNA from 1 species
AGAGUUUGAUCCUGGCUCAGGAUGAACGCUGGCGGCAUGCCUAACACAUGCAAGUCGAUCGGUAAGGCUCUUCGGAGUACACGAGAGGCGGACGGCUGAGUAACGCGUAGGAACACACCCUGCAGUGAGGGAUAAGACACCGAAAGGUGUUCUAAUACCGCAUACGGUCUUCGGAUUAAAGCAUUUAUGCGCUGAAGGAGUGGCCUGCGUCAUAUUAGAUAGUUGGUGAGGUAAUGGCUCACCAAGUCGAUGAUGUGUAGCUGGUCUGAGAGGAUGAUCAGCCAGACUGGAACUGAGACACGGUCCAGACUCCUACGGGAGGCAGCAGUGAGGAAUAUUUCACAAUGAGCGAAAGCUUGAUGGAGCAAUGCCGCGUGCAGGAUGAAGGCCCUCGGGUUGUAAACUGCUUUUAUAAGAGAAGAUUAUGACGGUAACUUAUGAAUAAGGGACGGCUAACUACGUGCCAGCAGCCGCGGUCAUACGUAGGUCCCGAGCGUUAUCCGGAGUGACUGGGCGUAAAGAGUUGCGUAGGCGGUCAAGUUAGCGAGCGAUGAAAACUAUCGGCUCAACCGAUAGCUUGUUGUUCGAACUGCUUGACUCGAGAGUAUCAGAGGUCGCUGGAAUUCCUAGUGUAGCAGUGAAAUGCGUAGAUAUUAGGAAGAACACCGAUGGCGUAGGCAGGCGACUGGGAUAUUUCUGACGCUAAGGCACGAAAGCGUGGGUAGCGAACCGGAUUAGAUACCCGGGUAGUCCACGCCGUAAACGAUGGAUGCUAAUUGUUUGAGGUAUCGACCCCUCGAGUAAUAAAGCUAACGCGUUAAGCAUCCCGCCUGUGGAGUACGGCCGCAAGGCUAAAACAUAAAGGAAUUGACGGGGACCCGCACAAGCGGUGGAUUAUGUUCUUUAAUUCGAUGAUAACCGAAGAACCUUACCAGGGCUUGACAUCCAGGGAAGGUCUGCGAAAGUAGACUGUGCCUUUUGGAACCCUGUGACAGGUGAUGCAUGGCCGUCGUCAGCUCGUGUCGUGAGAUGUUAGGUUAAGUCCUUCAACGAGCGCAACCCUUGUGAAUAGUUGUAUUUUUCUAUUCAGACUGCCCCGGUAACGGGGAGGAAGGAGGGGAUGAUGUCAGGUCAGUAUUUCCCU